UACGGGGGGGGCAAGCGUUGUUCGGAAUUACUGGGCGUAAAGGGCUCGUAGGCGGCCAACUAAGUCAGACGUGAAAUCCCUCGGCUUAACCGGGGAACUGCAUCUGAUACUGGAUGGCUUGAGUUCGGGAGAGGGAUGCGGAAUUCCAGGUGUAGCGGUGAAAUGCGUAGAUAUCUGGAGGAACACCGGUGGCGAAGGCGACAUCCUGGACCAACACUGACGCUGAGUGAGCGAAAGCCAGGGGAGCAAACGGG
rnacentral:rRNA from 1 species